AGUGAACGCUGGCGGUAGGCCUAACACAUGCAAGUCGAACGGCAGCACAGUAAGAGCUUGCUCUUACGGGUGGCGAGUGGCGGACGGGUGAGGAAUACAUCGGAAUCUACUUUUUCGUGGGGGAUAACGUAGGGAAACUUACGCUAAUACCGCAUACGACCUACGGGUGAAAGCAGGGGAUCUUCGGACCUUGCGCGAUUGAAUGAGCCGAUGUCGGAUUAGCUAGUUGGCGGGGUAAAGGCCCACCAAGGCGACGAUCCGUAGCUGGUCUGAGAGGAUGAUCAGCCACACUGGAACUGAGACACGGUCCAGACUCCUACGGGAGGCAGCAGUGGGGAAUAUUGGACAAUUGGCGCAAGCCUGAUCCAGCCAUACCGCGUGGGUGAAGAAGGCCUUCGGGUUGUAAAGCCCUUUUGUUGGGAAAGAAAAGCAGCAGGUUAAUACCCCGCUGUUCCGACGGUACCCAAAGAAUAAGCACCGGCUAACUUCGUG
rnacentral:rRNA from 1 species